rnacentral:rRNA from 1 species
GAGUGAAGCGGGAAAAGCUCAAAUUUAAAAUCUGGUGGUCUUUGGCCAUCCGAGUUGUAAUCUAGAGAAGUGUUAUCCGCGCUGGACCGUGUACAAGUCCCCUGGAAUGGGGCGUCAUAGAGGGUGAGAAUCCCGUCUUUGACACGGACUACCAGGGCUUUGUGAUGCACUCUCAAAGAGUCGAGUUGUUUGGGAAUGCAGCUCAAAAUGGGUGGUAAAUUCCAUCUAAAGCUAAAUAUUGGCGAGAGACCGAUAGCGAACAAGUACCGUGAGGGAAAGAUGAAAAGAACUUUGGAAAGAGAGUUAAACAGUACGUGAAAUUGUUGAAAGGGAAACGCUUGAAGUCAGUCGCGUCUGCCAGGGAUCAACCUUACUUUUGUGAGGCGUACUUCCUGGUUGAUGGGUCAGCAUCAGUUUUGGUCGCUGGAUAAAGGUCAGAGAAAUGUGGCACCUUCGGGUGUGUUAUAGUCUUUGAUCAGAUACAGUGGCUGGGACUGAGGAACUCAGCGCCGCAAGGCUGUCUUAGGAUGCUGGCAAAAUGGCUUUAAUCGACCCGUCUUGAAACACGGACCAAGGAGUCUAACAUGCCUGCGAGUGUUUGGGUGGAAAACCCGAGCGCGUAAUGAAAGUGAAAGUUGGGAUCCCUGUCAUGGGGAGCACCGACGCCCAUACCAGAAGUUUACGGACGGAUAUGCGGUGGAGCAUGUAUGUUGGGACCCGAAAGAUGGUGAACUAUGCCUGAAUAGGGCGAAGCCAGAGGAAACUCUGGUGGAGGCUCGUAGCGAUUCUGACGUGCAAAUCGAUCGUCGAA